UAGCUAGUUGGUGAGGUAAAGGCUUACCAAGGCGACGAUCUGUAGCGGGUCUGAGAGGAUGAUCCGCCACACUGGAACUGAGACACGGUCCAGACUCCUACGGGAGGCAGCAGUGGGGAAUUUUGGACAAUGGGGGCAACCCUGAUCCAGCCAUGCCGCGUGAGUGAAGAAGGCCUUCGGGUUGUAAAGCUCUUUCGGCCGGGAAGAAAUCGCAUGGGCCAAUACCCUGUGUGGAUGACGGUACCGGAAUAAGAAGCACCGGCUAACUACGUGCCAGCAGCCGCGGUAAUACGUAGGGUGCGAGCGUUAAUCGGAAUUACUGGGCGUAAAGCGUGCGCAGGCGGUUUUGUAAGACAGGCGUGAAAUCCCCGGGCUUAACCUGGGAACUGCGUUUGUGACUGCAAGGCUAGAGUACGGCAGAGGGGGGUGGAAUUCCACGUGUAGCAGUGAAAUGCGUAGAGAUGUGGAGGAACACCAAUGGCGAAGGCAGCCCCCUGGGUCGAUACUGACGCUCAUGCACGAAAGCGUGGGUAGCAAACAGGAUUAGAUACCCUGGUAGUCCACGCCCUAAACUAUGUCAACUAGGUGUUGGGUGGGUAAAACCAUUUAGUACCGUAGCUAACGCGUGAAGUUGACCGCCUGGGGAGUACGGCCGCAAGGUUAAAACUCAAAGGAAUUGACGGGGACCCGCACAAGCGGUGGAUGAUGUGGAUUAAUUCGAUGCAACGCGAAAAACCUUACCUACCCUUGACAUGCCAGGAACUUGCCAGAGAUGGCUUGGUGCCCGAAAGGGAGCCUGGACACAGGUGCUGCAUGGCUGUCGUCAGCUCGUGUCGUGAGAUGUUGGGUUAAGUCCCGCAACGAGCGCAACCCUUGUCGUUAAUUGCCAUCAUUUAGUUGGGCACUUUAACGAGACUGCCGGUGACAAACCGGAGGAAGGUGGGGAUGACGUCAAGUCCUCAUGGCCCUUAUGGGUAGGGCUUCACACGUCAUACAAUGGUCGGUACAAAGGGUUGCCAAGCCGCGAGGCGGAGCCAAUCCCAGAAAGCCGAUCGUAGUCCGGAUUGCAGGCUGCAACUCGCCUGCAUGAAGUCGGAAUCGCUAGUAAUCGUGGAUCAGCAUGUCACGGUGAAUACGUUCCCGGGUCUUGUACACACCGCCCGUCACACCAUGGGAGCGGGUUCCGCCAGAAGUAGGUAGCCUAACCGCAAGGGGGCGCUUACCACGGCGGGGUUCGUGACUGGGGUGAAGUCGGAACAAGGUAGCCGUAGGGGAACCUGCGGCUG
rnacentral:rRNA from 1 species